GGUUAAGAACAAAGCUAAGUGGAUUAUGUUGGGUAACUAUACCUCCACUUUGUCCCUAGAUUUAAGAUAGUGACUAUCUUUUAUUUAGUUGAGAUUUCCUGCAAUAUCGUGGAAAAGAUUUCGUUCAAGGGAUAACAUGAGAAGAAAGGUUGUAGGCCUAGAAUCUAGUUACUUGAGGGACCAGAAGAUUAUGAAGCUUAAGAGUAUUUGGUGCAGAACUCUAACAGGUGUUGCAUUAGUAUAAGUAUUUAUAAGGAUUUCUCUAAUACACUUAGAUUAGCAAAAAACUGGACAUCUCAUACUGGAUACUUUUAACAGUUACCACACACUCGUUUCAGAGGCCAGUGGAGAAGCUUGGCUUCAUAUACUUUAUUCAUUGGCUUAAAAUUGAAAUCAACACAUAUGUCAUAAAUAAGGAAUAAAUACAGAAGGAACGGGCAUGUAGAAGGGAAACAAGGUUGGAAAGUGAGAAAAAACCACUAGACUGUUUGCUGCUGUCAUGGUGGACAAAGAGAGAGGCAGAGGCUAUGGAGAAUUAGAUUGAAUGAUAAUUUAGAAACUAGGCUUGUAGGAUAAUUCUGUUAUUCAAUCCCAAAAAACUAAUCAUGACGGGAUAACAGCUGCACCUUGUUUGACAAGUCAAUCAAUUGUUUGGCUUAAAAUAUAUGUAGGAAGAGGUUUAAACCCUGUAUACCAGGUGUGUUCAAAAUGUAUCGCACCUAUAGAAACCAGUUGCCUUCUGAAAACCCUUCUGCUGCUUCCUUCCAAACACUCCAUGAAAUCUGGGCUUUAUGUCUUUCCUCUCUAUUCCUUCCAAUCUUCUGACUCAGCAUGUCCUCGUUACUGCCAGGCAUCUACUGUUCAAUCAUGGGCAACUUCUACACAACGCCAACAAGCGAGGUUAAUUCAAAGCGUUGCAAAUGAGUAAUGUUGUCCCCUCAUUCUACCCCAUGAAGCACAAGCUAACAUAUAAUUUCUACGUCCAACUUUUUCCAAACAUAAAAGGACCUCAGACCUUAUUUUGCUCUUUCUACUGCAAAUCGUAUGCCUCUUUUGCCUUUUCGCUUGGUAUCCUUACAUCACUUUGAUAGUACUUCGCGAGAUCUUUUUACUUACAUAAACAUGGUCAUAAUUUUGUUAAAGGAGUAAAAUGGGACAAGAGACUUUCUAAUUUCUAGAAGGUUAAUUGUUUAACAUCUAGGAAAGAAAAAACUUGCCAAAAGUAUUUUUAUGGAGGAAGUUUAGAUGAUUGGGUUCCUCAACAAUAGAGAGGUCAUAAGUUAUUGGAUUAGAAACAUGGUUUUGUAUAUUCUAAUUGGUAUUAAGGGAUCUUUCUUCAUAUCUCUAAUUUAGCAGUGACAUCUAUUGAUUGUUCUAUUUUGGUUGAAGAAUGCUGAAUCAAAACCUUGCACUCUCCCCAGUAAUAGGUGUUGAAUUUGGUCAACUGGGGAGUCAUGGUAGUCCAGUUAGUUUGUUGGCUACCUGAACUUCCAUCUUGUUGGUGGGAGUUAAUCUCCUCCCACAUUUUCCCUUCCCCUUCCCUCUAUGUAUAAUAAAAGUUUUUUAAAAAAUGUGGUGAAACUGUUUUUCUAACUGAUAAGGUUUGGUCAUUUUCUAUGGUCUUAGGUUAUUUGACUGAUAAAUUAUAUGCAUAUUGUUGUAGGAUGACAUGGAUGCGAAGAUCCAAGAACUUUCUUAUCAACUGGAUUGUGCCAAUCGGAAAUGUGAAAUUUAUCGUGCAAACCUUUAUUCAGUUUUGAAGGAUAUAGAGGACCAUAAGCAACAACUAUCAAUUAAAGUCCAAAACAUAAAGCUUAGCUUGAAGGAUGGUCUCUGAAUUUCUCCUCUUGUGGUAUAUGUUCUGUAAUCCUGUACAUAGUUGGUCCUUCAAAUUUUAUUGUACACAAGAAUCUUCCUGGAAUUCUUUUCUAAGGAAAUCACCGUGUGCUCAUUUGGCAGGUGUAGCAUGUAGUGUUCUGUCCAAUAUCUUUUAAGUUGGCAGCACUUCAUCUCUAACUUAGUAACACGGUUAAUCAACAUCAUUUGACAUAAACAACGGUUUUAUUGUAAGAUUCAACACACCAAGAUAGUUGGAUGCAGUUUGAUUGCUGAGAAUAUAGUGUGCAGGGCAUCAUACUUUACUUGAGAUGAGCCAUAAAGCAUGAUGUGAUGAUUGUCUUGGUUACCCAUUGAUUGAGUGGACAUUUAAAUUUUAUCUAGCCAAUUCAUGGCAACUUGCCUUUGUCCUUUGCUGGAAUUAGCUUUCGCACCCCUAUAGAAAAAUCAGCUGCAGAUAAUCAUUGACAAGAGUUCUCUUAACUUGUGUGAGCUGUCGACAUUGGGAUGGGCUCUACAUUGGCAGCUUCCUGCACCUUUUAACUAUUUUUAUUUUCUUUCAAAGUUGAGUAUGUUAACAAAAUCUUCAUGGG
rnacentral:lncRNA from 1 species